CCGAGGAGUAGGGGCGGGGCCUCGCGGGCGGCCGACGUCCCUCGCCCUUGCCGCGCCUUGGGGGCGGGGCCACGUCGGGGGCGGGGCCGGCGCGCGCGCGGGAAGCGCCAGCGGGGAGGCCGGCCGACCCCUCUGCGUGAGCCGCGCGUUAUGGCCCUAUCGGUGCCUGGCUACUCGCCCAGUUUCAGGAAGCCUCCCGAGACUUUGCGGCUCCGACGGAAAAGGGCCCGGAGCCGGGGGGCGGCCGCUUCACCCGGCGAGCAGCCCGAGCCGGCGCCCCGCCGCGCCGCUUUGGCGGCCGGGCUGCUCCUCCGCCCCUUCCCGGCGGCGGCGGCGGCGGUGGGCAGAGGCGGCGGCGGCCCGGCCGCGGCCCGCAGGAACCCCUUCGCCCGCCUGGACAACCGGCCUUCGGCCGCCGCGGAGCCCCCCGACGGGCCGCCCCGCGGCCAGCAGGAGGCGCAGGGCCCGUUUUUAGAUUCUAAUCAGGAAAAUGAUUUGCUGUGGGAAGAGAAGUUUCCUGAAAGAACAACCGUUACUGAAUUACUCCAGACUCCACAAGGAUCAGUCUCUGAAUCUGAUAUUCCAUCCUCAGAAAGUACUGAGUUACCUGCAGACUGGAGUAUUAAAACUCGACUCCUUUUCACUUCUUCUCAACCCUUUACCUGGGCAGAUCAUUUGAAAGCACAGGAAGAGGCUCACGGUGUCAUCCAGCAUUGUAGGGCAACAGAAGUUACUUUGCCUCAAAGUAUACAGGAUCCCAGGCUCUCCACUGAGCUCCGUUGUGCCUUCCAGCAGAGCCUUAUCUAUUGGCUCCAGCCUGCCUUUCCUUGGCUACCACUGUUCCCUCGCAUUGGAGCUGAUAGAAAAAUGUCUGGAAAGAUAAGCCCUUGGUCAAAUGAUGAAACCUUGCAACACAUUUUAAUGAGUGACUGGUCUGUGAGCUUCACUUCUCUCUAUAAUCUGCUGAAGACAAAACUUUGCCCAUAUUUCUACGUUUGUACCUAUCAGUUUACUAUCCUGUUCCGCGCAGCAGGAUUAGCUGGAAAUGAUGUAAUCACAGCUCUCAUAUCUCCUACAACUAGAGGCAUAAGAGAAGCUAUGAAAAAUGAAGGUAUUGAAUUUUCUCUGCCAUUAAUAAAAGAAAAUGGCCAUGGGAAGAAAAAGGCUUCCGGAACAAGCCAAGGACAGGGAGAGGAACAAGUAAUCAGUGAUGAGGAUGAAGAUGAAAGUUUUUCCUGGCUGGAAGAGAUGGGUGUGCAAGAUAAAAUUAAAAAACCAGACAUACUCUCUAUCAAGCUACGUAAAGAGAAACAUGAAGUGCAAAUGGAUCACAGACCUGAGUCUGUUGUGUUGGUGAAGGGAAUGAAUACCCUUACGUUGCUGAAUUUUUUGAUCAACUCUAAGAGUUUAAUUGCUAGUUCAGGUCCCCAGGCAGGACUUCCACCAACCCUCUUAUCGCCUGUAGCUUUCCGAGGUGCCACAAUGCAAAUGCUUAAGGCACGAAGUGUAAAUGUGAAGACACAAGCUGUUUCUGGAUACAAAGAUCAAUUUAGUUUGGAGAUUACAGGUCCUGUCAUGCCUCAUUCUCUACAUUCUGUAACCAUGCUACUCAGAUCUUCACAAAAGGGGUCAUUUUCUGCUGGACUGUAUACACAUGAGCCAACUGCCGUAUUUAAUACCUGCCUGCCAGUAAAUAAAGUACUGGAUAAGGAGACUGUUCAUGAGGAGCUUGCCAACUGUGGGUUGCAUCCUAAGACUCUGGACCAACUCAGUCAAACACCAAUACUGGGAAAAUCAUCUUUAAGGCAUGUGGAAAUGAGUGACUACGUUUAUAAUUGGAGAUCCUGAACACCAAACUUUGUAAAUUAUAUGCUGGGGAGAAAGCAUGCCAAUGAUGUGUGACUAGACAUUAAGUUCAACAAGGUGCUCUGAUGGAAGGAGGCAGCUGUGGAGGCUUACUAAGUGAGCUGCAAGUUCAUGUCAAAACCUUAUUACCAGAUGAUAAUUAAUUUUCUAUUUGUAUUUUUAAAUGUGAAGAAAUCUACUCAAAAUAAAAUGAACCAGGAUUAUCUUAACUCUUAAGGAUCCUCAAGAGUUUGAAUCAAAAAGCAUGUUUCCAGGUUUUCAAGGUAAUUCAAGAUAUGCAAUAAUGCACAAAAAGCCAAAUAUAAUCCCCAAAGCAUUAAUACUCAAGGACUAGACCAAAUGUUACAUAUCAGUAUUAAAAUUCUCAUAAAACAUCAGAGCUAUUCUUUAGAACACUGGCCAGUAUCAUUCUCUACAAUAACAGCUAAAGGGCACUUGAAAUGUGGCUAGGGCAAUUUAAGGAACUGAUUUUUCAGUGGCCAGUGACUACAACUUUGGACUAUACGGUGUGUGUGAUGUGUGUACAGUAUACAGUGGAUUAUACUACACAGUGAACUUUAGAGCCUUAACCAUCUUUUGAUGUUGCUCAGAAAUAGGAAUAUGUGAAAGGUACCAAAGUGAUGCUUUUUAGAAAGCCAUUCUAAAAACAAGGGGGGAGAAAUCUUAAAUCUCAUAGAAUACUACUGUCAAGUUGUCAUCAAGCCUUUUUUGUUUCCCCUGAUAGACUACAGAUUUUCUAAAGUCUAAUUAUGAUACUAUAGUAAUAUUCUAAGUAUUAUAAUGGAGGGAAAUGUUUAAUUCCUUUAGGCUAGAACUUAUUCUAAGAAGUAAAAUCUACGUAAGAGUAUUCUGAAUUAUAAUUCCAGUUCUCAUAUUAAUAAAAACCUAUCCAAGUUAUUUCAUCUCUCUACAACAGCAACACAGCAGAUCACUUCUUCCGUAAUCCAAAAAAGUGUCAGGAAUAAUGAAAUCCAUAAUGUAACAUGCAUUUCAUAACCCAAGUUAUAACUGUGUACCUUCUGUAUCUUUCUCAUUUAAAAAACCCUAAGUCAAAAAGAAAAAAAAAAAUCCUAAGUCAAUUUACUUCCCCCUUUUGUCAACCCAACUAUUUACAUAAAUAUAACAAUUAUCUUAGGUAUUUCUUAGUCAAUGGCAGAAAAAGGUUAAAAGGAAUUAUUAGGAGGGGGUCAGUCAGAUAAGAAAAAUAAGCCCUGUAAUAUGAAAAUUAUUUUCUACAAAGAUAAUUGCAGGUAUCUUAAAAGACAGUAUAAAAGGAAACUUUUAAUUGUAAGAACAUGGAACUAAGAAAAUGCAUCUGACCUGUAUAUAAAAUACGAUUUUAAAAUACUUAGCAAAAAUUAACAAGUUACAAAGAGGUUCAUAUAGAAAAGAAGAGGACAACUACAAAAACAAAAGCCACAAAUACAGAAUAUCUCAGUUGUCAUGUGUUGGUUUUUAAACCAUGAAUUAUGAAUCUUUUUAUUACAUCAUAUAGACUUCUCUAGUAUAACUCGUACAUUUAAUCUAAAUAAACUACAGUAACAAAACAAACAGACAACCUACUAAAUGGUUCAAAGAAAUUCAGUGUUAAUCACCGAGGAAAAUCUAAGGAAAGAAUGAAUAACAAGGCUGUAUUUAACCAUUCUAGCGCUGCCAGGACCCGUGUGAUAAAUUUUCAAUUAAAAUUUACAUCUUACCCCAAGCACUGAGCUUUCCUAAACUAUAAAUUUAAAACUUCUACAACACUUCAGAGAACUGUAGCUCCACUGGGAUGUGGAAAUAUUUUUUAGUAAAAGCAACCAGGCGCACUGCCUACACCUCUGGACCUCUAUAAACAUUUAUGAUUAAUAGUAAACCCAAGGAAAUUUUGUGUCAAAGAUUACAUUUAAAUCUUCUACCCAAUAAGCCUCUAACUUGAUUACCAAGAAUGAGUGCCCCCAAGGACAAUUUUUUAAAUAUUCGUUUUCCAACAUUUUUGAUUUCACUGUUUAUGAAUCAAAUUCACACAAAUAUGGUCAAAGUUCUGUAGUCACUCCUUACUGAGGAUGCUGCUGGCUGGCUUCUGGGUAGGAAGACGAUGCUAUGGCAGUAAGGCACAGUCUGAUGAGCUGAUAUUCCAUAAGAUACGGAUUUAUGUUGAUCCAUCCACAUCUAUCCACUCACGUUUAUGUCAAAGAGCACUCAUGUGCAAGACAAUUAGUGGGGUUAAGGAUUACAGCAAAGCUGAGAUCAAAUCUGUGAUCUUUGCUUAAAUGUUUUAGGCUUAAAACUAAAAAACCACAAACUCCAUUUAUAUUUAUUAAAAUGAAAAAGAUUUGGGAAGUUAAAAAAAAAUACUAUUAAACAGUGACCAUUUGAAAGAUUCCUUUUACUCUAUAAAAGCCUUCAUUUCAACCCCUCACAGGGAAUCAAAAGGGUCAAUGCUCCCAUAAAAUGUCACCAAUAGUAUUCCACAAACAUCGGUAUAUAGAACAUAAUCUUACAAAUGUAUUUGCAAGAUACAGCUAAGUAACUAGAACUAAACAUUUUAUAAGUGAUCAUUUCCUCGAGGUGUUUACUACUAUUGUUGGGUAAAAGUACAGAGACCUAAAAAGCAAAACAAAACCCUACCCUUUUUCCUCUUCUAAAAUUUUGGGAUUUGUUUCUGCUUAAAGUUAACCUACAUAUUUUUUCAGUCUGAUCUUCUACGAAACUAGCUCAAAGAGUUCUGAUAUCAAAUACUUGUAUAUACCCUCCCAUAGGAGAAAUCCGCUUUUCUUUAGCCCUCUGAACUUUUUUUCCGGCUUUCAUGAAAGACUGCUUAAUACAAAAUUCGAAUACCCAACUUUUCCCCCCGGGAUUUCUUUGGAAUAAUUCUCCCCAACUUUUAAAAUCUGACAACCGCUUUUGAUGACAGACAAGACUAAGGCACCACACUGUCAGUGUUAAGACUGAAAAUGGCAGAGUACUAAACUUCAAAUAUAUAAAUACAUAUACAUAAAGUCUCAAUCAAAAAGAAACAUUCAUCAGGAUUCACUAAGCACUUUUCCCAUGUUCAACUAAGGUUAAAAUAGUUAUGAUCACUUAUUUUCUCAGGGUAAUCCCUUGGAAUUUUUCAAUAUUCUCAGCUGGAAAUGUCUUCUCACAUAAUCUCCGUAUGUCUUUCCCAACUCUGUUAAAUGCUUAAUCUAAAAAUUACUAAAAGCGUAUGUAUCAGAAUUUCUAAGUAUGUCUGUUUGGCCCUCUUAUCAUGAUCUAUAUUCAGCUACUACAAGAUUUAAGUCAUUUGCAAAUGUCAGUUAACCCUUCCCUCUUGAGAUGUGCAGGUAGCCUGAUUUGGGGAUUAGCAACCGAGCUACUCAAUUGGUUUUAUUAAAAUAAUGUCCAAACCAACUAUCCCUUCCUCACUGGUGUAGUAUAACUUGCUUUAACUGCUGAAUCCCAUGUAAAUAUAAAUCAUCACUGGGGACUGUAAGUUGCACUAGCUAAUUAUCAUGUCUGGCUUCAUCAUACAGAACUUGUUCUCUCUUAAAAUGCCACGGGUCAAAAAAAAACACUGUGAAAAUGUCACCUGUGAAUAGCUCAGGGGAAAAAAUAUACUAUCAAAAGAUUUCUGAUUUGGGUUCUGUUCACUUUCUGAUUUUAUAAACAACAGGAUUUGUUUACUUGUAAUAAUGGAGGUGUUUAGUUUAAGAUGAUAUGGCCAAUGAAGGCAAUCUGAGUUGGAGAGAACAGGUCUCUCUGACCCACGUAUCCCAGAACUGCAAGAAAAGAAGUGGGGACGAAGUCCCACAUUGUAAGGGCAUCAUAUUAUCUAGUCCAGUCCUUGGACAAAUGUCUGAGCUUUGGAACCAAGGGCAAGAGGUGAUA